UACGAAGGGGGCUAGCGUUGCUCGGAAUCACUGGGCGUAAAGCGCACGUAGGUGGACUCUUAAGUCAGGGGUGAAAUCCUGGAGCUCAACUCCAGAACUGCCUUUGAUACUGAGGAUCUUGAGUUCGGGAGAGGUGAGUGGAACUGCGAGUGUAGAGGUGAAAUUCGUAGAUAUUCGCAAGAACACCAGUGGCGAAGGCGGCUCACUGGCCCGAUACUGACGCUGAGGCACGAAAGCGUGGGGAGCAAACAGG
rnacentral:rRNA from 1 species